rnacentral:rRNA from 1 species
AUGGCCGCGUCGUCAACAUGCACGCGGCCACCGGCCACCGUCCUCCACACCGACGGGUCCAGGAGGUCCACCGUGGACGAGUUCGUCGCCUGCGCCCUCGAGACCAAGCCGGAGAGCCCGCGGCACCGCCAUCGCCUUGUUCUGCACCGCCUCGGCCGCCGUCGAUCCGCGGCGGACACCACCGCUUCGGCGCCACCCCGUCCUCCCCGAGUCUUCUGUGAGCAUCGCUACCCCGAGACUGCCGGCGACCCCCAGUUCGACUACGGUGUUGACGAUCCCUCCUUGCCAGAGCAACCAGAUGCUGGAGUCCAGGAGCCAGACGCCACCGUCGACGACGACCCCUACUACACUGGAGGUGCCUACUACUACGUGCUGCCCGCUGAUGACGACCAGGAGUAG